rnacentral:rRNA from 1 species
UAGGGAAUCUUCCACAAUGGGCGAAAGCCUGAUAGAGCAACGCCGCGUGUGUGAUGAAGGGUUUCGGCUCGUAAAACACUGUUGUAAGAGAAGAAUGACAUUGAGAGUAACUGUUCAAUGUGUGACGGUAUCUUACCAGAAAGGAACGGCUAAAUACGUGCCAG